AAGUGUUAUACAGCGAAACUGCGAAUGGCUCAUUAAAACAGUUAUAGUUUAUUUGAUAAUCGAAUUUACAUGGAUAACCGUGGUAAUUCUAGAGCUAGUACAUGCUGGUAUGCCCGACUUUUGCGGAAGGGCGGUAUUUAUUAGAUAACAAGCCAAUAUUCCUCUGGUCUAUUGUGGUGACUCAUAAUAACUGAUCGAAUCGCAAGGCCUUUGGCCGCGAUAAAUCAUUCAAGUUUCUGCCCCAUCAGCUUUCGAUGGUAGUGUAUUGGACUACCAUGGCGUUUACGGGUAACGGAGGAUUAGGGUUCGAUUCCGGAGAGGGAGCCUGAGAAACGGCUACCACAUCUAAGGAAGGCAGCAGGCGCGUAAAUUACCCAAUCCUGACUCAGGGAGGUAGUGACAAGAAAUAACGGACCGGUUCCUUCGGAUUCGGGAUUGCAAUGAGCCGAAUUUACACCCCUUAGCGAGGAUCGAUUGGAGGGCAAGUCUGGUGCCAGCAGCCGCGGUAAUUCCAGCUCCAAUAGCGUAUAUUAAAGUUGUUGCGGUUAAAAAGCUCGUAGUUGGAGUUCUGCCAGGUGCCACCUGUCCGCCCCAGUGGUGAGUACGUGGUGCGCAUUUGGCCCUUUCAAGGGGAGCGUAUUUGCACUUAAUUGUGUGGUGCGGGAUCCUUGACU
rnacentral:rRNA from 1 species